UGUCAUGUUUUGUCCAUGGGAGCGUGCCUAUGUUCCCGCAUUUCCUCUUCAUCAAUUUGUAUCAGAUUUUAUUCC